AAUAGAUACCCGGGUAGUCCACGCCGUAAACGAUGAGUGCUAAGUGUUAGAGGGUUUCCGCCCUUUAGUGCUGAAGUUAACGCAUUAAGCACUCCGCCUGGGGAGUACGGCCGCAAGGCUGAAACUCAAAGGAAUUGACGGGGGCCCGCACAAGCGGUGGAGCAUGUGGUUUAAUUCGAAGCAACGCGAAGAACCUUACCAGGUCUUGACAUCCUCUGACAACCCUAGAGAUAGGGCUUCUCCUUCGGGAGCAGAGUGACAGGUGGUGCAUGGUUGUCGUCAGCUCGUGUCGUGAGAUGUUGGGUUAAGUCCCGCAACGAGCGCAACCCUUGAUCUUAGUUGCCAUCAUUUAGUUGGGCACUCUAAGGUGACUGCCGGUGACAAACCGGAGGAAGGUGGGGAUGACGUCAAAUCAUCAUGCCCCUUAUGACCUGGGCUACACACGUGCUACAAUGGACGGUACAAAGAGCUGCAAGACCGUGAGGUGGAGCUAAUCUCAUAAAACCGUUCUCAGUUCGGAUUGUAGG
rnacentral:rRNA from 1 species